GGAUUUUGUUUUUUUAUUUUGGUAGCCCUUUUUACUUACAGAACCAGACUAAAGCAGUACUAUUAUACUUUAACUAACUAUCUAUUUUUAUAUAGUUGGCUUGCCUACCCAGAUAUUAAUUUUAAGGGACAAGCUACAGUUCUGGAGGAAGACCAUGGGCUCUUUGAGAUUUCUACAGCAGAAAUGAAAUCAUUACAUCCGCUUCAAAUGGGUGGACUGAAAGUGGAAAUGCCCAUGAACUUAAAGGUAAGUCUUGGACUGAUUUUUGUAGCAGGCUAAAGAGUCUCAGGAUUAAUAUUUAUUCCAAUAAUUUUGAAACAUUGGAAUAAAAAGUACCUCCACAUAUGAUUAUACUUAGCUAAUGGAUUUUGGGGAGGUGGGAAGUGAAUGCACAAAAUGUUUGAUGAGGGCCCAACCCUAUGGCUGUGAAUGGAGAGUGGGAUCAGUCUGCAAAGAUGGAGGUCUGUACCAAUAAAUCAGUCAGACUCACUACAUUCUGCUACAGGGUGGAAAGGUGAUAGGUUUGAUUUUUGUUUUGAGGGAAGGGACUUGAGAAAGCAGCUAGUUAUUGAAGUGGAGAUAUCUAGCGGGCAUUUGGGAGUGAUGCUCAGGAACAUGAUCAAGGCUGAUCAAAAGGAAGUGUAGGUAGCUCUUAUCAGGUAGAUGGCAGUUUGUAAGUAUGAGUAUCCAAAGGGAAAAGUAGCGGCGAGGCAAUGAAAAUGGGUAGCAGUGGUGCCAGGAUCAAGCAAAUUCAGGGAAAGAAAGGAGGAAACAGAAUUACAAAGUAUGUUUAGAGAGAGAGAGAAGGCAAACCAGUACAGUGAUAAAAGAUGCAAACAGGCCUGCUUGUAAUU
rnacentral:lncRNA from 1 species